rnacentral:rRNA from 1 species
UGGGGAAUAUUGCACAAUGGGCGCAAGCCUGAUGCAGCCAUGCCGCGUGUGUGAAGAAGGCCUUCGGGUUGUAAAGCACUUUCAGCGAGGAGGAAGGUGGUGAGCUUAAUACGCUCAUCAAUUGACGUUACUCGCAGAAGAAGCACCGGCUAACUCCGUGCCAGCAGCCGCGGUAAUACGGAGGGUGCAAGCGUUAAUCGGAAUUACUGGGCGUAAAGCGCACGCAGGCGGUUUGUUAAGUCAGAUGUGAAAUCCCCGGGCUCAACCUGGGAACUGCAUUUGAAACUGGUAAGCUAGAGUCUCGUAGAGGGGGGUAGAAUUCCAGGUGUAGCGGUGAAAUGCGUAGAGAUCUGGAGGAAUACCGGUGGCGAAGGCGGCCCCCCUGGACGAAGACUGACGCUCAGGUGCGAAAGCGUGGGGCAGCAAACAGGAUUAGAUACCCUGGUAGUCCAGCGCUGUAAACGAUGUCGAUUUUGGAGGUUGUGCCCUUGAGGCGUGGCUUCCGGAGCUAACGCGUUAAAUCGA